rnacentral:rRNA from 1 species
AUGGCUCAGACGAACGCUGGUGGCGUGCCUUAUACAUGCAAGUCGAGCGAGGCAGCAAUGCCGAGCGGCGAACGGGUGAGUAACGCGUAAGCAAUCUGCCCCAUAUCAGGAAAUACCCGUGCCAACGCGCGGUUAAUGUCCAGGAGAGUGGCUCCUUGCAUGAGGAGUUGACUAGAGAUUUAUCGGUAUGGGAUGAGCUUGCGUCCGAUUAGCUAGUUGGCGGGCAACGGCCCACCAAGGCGACGAUCGGUAGCCGGCCUGAGAGGGUGAUCGGCCACAUUGGGACUGAGAUACGGCCCAGACUCCUACGGGAGGCAGCAGUAGGGAAUAUUGCACAAUGGGGGAAACCCUGAUGCAGCAACGCCAACGUGUGGGAAGAAGCAUUUCGGUGUGUAAACCACUGUCAUGAGGGAAUAAGGCCCUUAUCCGUAAGGGAUUGAAUGUACCUUGAGAGGAAGCACCGGCAAACUUCGUGCCAGCCGCGGC